AUUGAACGCUGGCGGCAGGCCUAACACAUGCAAGUCGAACGGUAACAGGAAGCAGCUUGCUGCUUCGCUGACGAGUGGCGGACGGGUGAGUAAUGUCUGGGAAACUGCCUGAUGGAGGGGGAUAACUACUGGAAACGGUAGCUAAUACCGCAUAACGUCGCAAGACCAAAGAGGGGGACCUUAGGGCCUGUUGCCAUCGGAUGUGCCCAGAUGGGAUUAGCUAGUAGGUGGGGUAACGGCUCACCUAGGCGACGAUCCCUAGCUGGUCUGAGAGGAUGACCAGCCACACUGGAACUGAGACACGGUCCAGACUCCUACGGGAGGCAGCAGUGGGGAAUAUUGCACAAUGGGCGCAAGCCUGAUGCAGCCAUGCCGCGUGUAUGAAGAAGGCCUUCGGGUUGUAAAGUACUUUCAGCGGGGAGGAAGGGAGUAAAGUUAAUACCUUUGCUCAUUGACGUUACCCGCAGAAGAAGCACCGGCUAACUCCGUG
rnacentral:rRNA from 1 species